rnacentral:rRNA from 1 species
UACGUAGGGCGCAAGCGUUGUCCGGAAUUAUUGGGCGUAAAGAGCUCGUAGGCGGUCUGUUGCGUCGGCUGUGAAAACCCGGGGCUCAACUCCGGGCCUGCAGCCGAUACGGGCAGACUAGAGUUCGGCAGGGGAGACUGGAAUUCCUGGUGUAGCGGUGAAAUGCGCAGAUAUCAGGAGGAACACCGGUGGCGAAGGCGGGUCUCUGGGCCGAUACUGACGCUGAGGAGCGAAAGCGUGGGGAGCAAACAGG